rnacentral:lncRNA from 1 species
ACCGGUCAGACUCCAGGUCUUAUAUCUUGAAACUGUAAGUCCCUGAAUUCACAGACAAUUCAGAGUAAGGAUGGAGGCAAAGAAGAGGACCUUGGGUUUACUGUUCACGAGGUGACCUCAUAAAGGUGUUCAGUGAUGAAGAGGAGUGGCUGAAGAGGUGGCUGUCUAGAGUCAACACAAACCUACCCCAAAGUUUGACCUUUGCCUUAAGUCAGUAACUGAGGAGGGCCACGGUCCUGAGUUCAGUCCAGACCCCAGGAAGAUUCAGAGCCUGCAGUUGUCCUCUGGUUUCUAAAGUAUGUUAUUGGGCUAAAGAUUUCAAGACAUUUAUCCUUCUUUGCUUUCUAUCGCAGCCAUUAAAUGUUUUAGAUAUUUUCUGCCAGAAGGCAGGAAUCAUGAAGAUAACAAAUAUUAAAGACAAAACCAAAUAACUUUUAAUGAGGCUUCAGCAAGCAACCACUAGGAUAAUGUUAAAGAUCUUCAGUGGUAAGAAGACAAGGAGCAAAGAUUUUUAUCUUACUUUGUGAUUUUCAUAAUUAAAAAAGAAAGAAAGGAAAGGGUUGAGAAGUCAGGAAAAUGAGGAGGGAUCAGCAGAGGAGACUGAGAAAGAGCAGCCAGUGAGGGACGAGGUCUUGCCACAUUGCUCAGGCUGGUCUUGAACUCCUGGACUCAAGCAAUUCUUCCACUGUAGCCUCCUGAGGUGGCAGGAUUACAGCAUAAGCCACCAUGCCUGGCCUCAGUCACACUUUGGAAAAGAAGACUAUGGAUCUACAUGUUCAUUUUGUGGUCGAAUUAUAACCAACACGCCACUCUAU